UUUACGCGUUAGACGCGCACCGUUACAGCGCGCAGGAGGAAUGCAUAACAGUACUGCGAGGAUGAAGAAGACGUGCCUUUAAUCGAUUUAUAGCUAUAGGAGAGUUCAUGUUUGGUGGAGAGAUAUGGGAUGCUUUACAGAAGGACGAUUUAUGGACUAUCAUUGGACUUUAAAUGAGACUGGAGAAUGGAGAACAUCGCUGCUCUGCCAAGAUGCAUCAACCACCCAAAUCCGAUGGGAAACCACGGCAUGCUGUCAUCUGUUCAGACGGAGUGACAUUUGUCUGCAUGGUUUCUGCCAGGAAUCUGCACAAGCCAGUUCUCACCCUCGGACGGGACGCCCACGGACCCUUCGCAGACUUUCUGAUGAUUACUACAAGUCAAACAUUUUCAAAAUCGCAAAACACUUAGCCUGA
ensembl:lncRNA